CCUUGGCCUGCCUUCCCUCUGCGCUCCGCAAAGAUCUCUCCACGUGCGCCAUCAUGUCACCCCUCGAGGCCGCCCUGCCCGCUGGAGCUGCACCUGCCUCGCUGGCAUCUGGAGGUCGGUGUCACCCCUCGGGGAGCGUUUGGACACGGCGACGUGUUCUUUGUUGGAGAGGAGAAGAACCUGGAAUCCAGCUCCAGAAGGAGAGGUGCAGGGCUUGGACUGUUUUUCUGCGCAUGUCCUGGAUCUCGGCGGCUGACAGGCCGCGCCCACUCGCCCGACCUGCUGGCCACGCCCUAAUCUCCUGCCUCAGGGCCACACCGAAAAGAAAAAACAAGCCUAGGGAGUAAAGACAUGGAAUACAAAUACGAAUAACCUUGCUUAACUUUGCAGUCUUCUUAACAGUUUUAAAAUUAUGAUUUUUAUGUCUCCUUUCUACUCUCUGUUUCUUCUAUCCUACCUCAGCAGCACUUCCCUAAAAGUUUGCUUUCUUUGUUGAAGAAGCUAUAUAUAAAUUAAUAAACUCUCCUUUUCUUCCUCUCUCUCCAGUCCUGGUGAUCAAACCCAGGACCACACGCCAGGCAAGUGCUCUAUCACUGAGCUACACCUCC
rnacentral:lncRNA from 1 species